ensembl:processed_transcript Gm12299 predicted gene 12299
AGGAAGAAGAGUUUCUCCUUGGUCUGAGAGCACCUGAAAGGGUUGUGAGGGACCAGGUACACCUCACCUGGGUGGUCUCUUAAACUAACUAAGGAUUCCUUCUGAUCCCUGUCAAGCGGAUGAACUCAGAUGCCCAGCUUCUCCAGGAAAGAAACAGUCACUCUCAGUCCUGCCAAGAUCAGGAUGGAGGAAAGUGGAUAUGCAACAGGAUGGUAGUGAGAUAGUGACAUAUUGAGAGAGUUUUGUAGUAGGGGUGGGGGAGAUGUAGGAAUGGAGGAUAGUUCUGUGCUGUGUCCUCCUGAGGGAAAUGGAGGAAUACUUUCCGUCCUCCUCUGAACCACUGACACCAGAGCUUCUAAACUGGAGCUGACGUGAAUUCCUUCACUUCUUGGAUACAUUUGGCCAUAUCUGAAGACCGUUUUGACUAUCAUGCGUUGGAGAUCUCUAACCAGCAUCAGGUGACUAGAGAUGCUCUUUAAGCAACCUUUACAACACACAGAAGAGCAAAACAAAACAAACUGCCCAACCCCGAAUGUCAUCAGUGCUGAGAAACCUGGCCUAAGAGUGACUGCGGCUUAUGGAUUAUCACCAGCGUCAUGGAGCUACAUCAAACUGGAGUGCUCUCUAAUGUCCAUAACUUUGUAUCUCUAAGUCUCUGAAGACCCAACCCACACAUCACCGCAGUGGAUCAGAGGCAGGGAUAGGAACAAAUAAGAGAGAACAAUAAUUGGGCACCUACUAUGUGCCAGAAGUCCCAAUAGAGUAGAUACACUACAGUCCUUCACUACUAAAGGGCAAAUAUAAAACUGUCCUGGGUCCCCCCACACACACACUCCCCCUUUUCCUUUGCCAUCAACUGGUUAGACAUGCAAGUAGAGAAAUUCAAGAAUUUGGGAAGUCACUCCUAUUCGUUAAGAUAAGAGAAAUUCAACUUCAGCCGUGCAUGAAGGCUUCUGUGGUGUUCACACAGGAAUCCACAGAAGGAGAAAGAUAAUAGGGCUAGGGGAAAUGGGAGUGGCCUCAGGCCCUGAAGUUCAUCUGGCAUCCCAUCUGUCAAGUCUAACUUGACAUCCAGCCCACCAGUCUGGCUGCCAAUCAAAUCCUCCAAUCAGGCUUCUGGGAGUGAAGUCUUAACUAGGAAGGAUUCCUGUUGCUCUUGCUCUCCACAGGCUCUGAUGACCACCUCCUCCACCUGGGCUGAGGAAAGAGAAAUAGAGAGCAAGUGCUCACCCAAAGAGAAGCAUAAAGCGAUCGUUCACCGGAGAUGAAAGGCCUCACUUCCUGCCGGCGGUGGACAGGGCUGCAUCUGUUUGUCUGCAGCAACUAGAGGAGCCAGUAUCUCAGCAGAACUGGCUCAGAGCACACCCAGUGGACAAAUCUGACAAAUGUCUUUCACCAGCCUUUGUAGAACUUUGUGCAGUGCUUUCUAGAAACAAGCAGAAGCUGUGUCAAGCAUAUAAUCUCCAACUAGUGCUGCCUUCAGGGUCUUUAAGAAGAAACAUGUCCCAGGCAGCCACAGGGGACCAGGCACCAAUGAAGAGGAUUUUGUUAGGAGAACAGAACAAUUGGUCAGGGGCAGUAAUUCCCAGACCAUGGGACACUCCACCCUUCAAACCAAAACCAAUCUAUGAGUAAACUGCCAAGGACUGUCCUUUCACUCAGGAUCCAGCCUUGAAUCAAGACUCUAGUAUUGCCCUCACCCCCCCCCCCCCCAGCACUGCCCGUGUUCUUCACAAAGGACUGUGAGCGUGGCCCCUGUCAUCAGUUUGCUGGGAGCAUUUUCCAGGCUCUACACAGAGCUGGGCAGAGCCAAGUGUCUUCUCCCUCAUUCAUUCACUCUCUAAACCUUUACAUAACUGAAAAUACAUCAAGUAGUGGGGGCUCUAGAAAGAAAAAUAUGACAAAGCCAGGAGACAGAGUAUGGCUGUAGGGAGUCAGGAAUGUUUUUCCUUUGAGGCGCAAUUUGAUCAGAAACCCAAUGACGUGAGACUCUGCCAGACCCACAUAUAAUGAAAGUCAGGGCUAGGGAAGUAACUCGUUGCUAAAGUAUAUGUUUGGCAUGUGACAAAACUUUAUUAUCAGCCCCGUCCAAACAAAAUAAUAAACAAACAAACAAACAAAUGGUAGUUACAGGGUAGGAGAAGGCCUGGCUGAAUCUGAAGACACACACCUGUAAGCUUUAACCCCAGCACUCAGGGAGCAGAGGCAGGUGGAUUUCUGUGAAUAUGAAGCCCAUCUACUCUACAUAUUGAGUUUCAAGCCAGCCACUGUUACAGGAUUAGAUCAUAUCAAAAACAACAAAACAAAAUAAAACAAAUACCCCAAAAC